GACGUAGGUGGCGAACGUUAUCCGGAAUUAUUGGGCGUAAAGGAUGCGUAGAUGGUGUAGUAAGUUAUCGGUGGCAAAUCGAGGCUCAACCUCGUGGAAGUCGGUAAUACUGCUAUGCUAGAGGAUAGGAGAGGUUAACGGAACUCCCUGUGGAGCGGUGAAAUGCGUAGAUAUAGGGAAGAACACCAAUCAGGCGAAGGCAGUUAACUAUUCUAUUCCUGACAUUGAGGCAUGAAAGUGUGGGGAGCAAAACGG
rnacentral:rRNA from 1 species